GUCUAUGGCCAUGCCACCCCAAACAAGCCCGAUCCCAGAAGCUAAGUUUGAUCUCAGAAGCUAAGCAGGGUCGGGCCUGGUUAGUACUUGGAUGGGAGACCACCUAGGAAGACCAGGUGUUGUAGGUG
rnacentral:rRNA from 1 species